GCCAGUGUGGCUCAGUGGAUAGAGCGUGGUUCUGCGGCCUAAAGAGUCCCGGGUUUGAUUCCUGGCAAGGGCA
rfam:Myotis davidii contig6615, whole genome shotgun sequence.